CUAUUUCUUACUGGCUAAUUUUAGUAAUCAAAAGAUUCAGUUACAACUCUAAGAAUCGCUGCUCUUUAAGUAGUGGCUUUCUCUCUUUUAUUCUGAAUUUUGCUUAUUUAUUUUAAAUUUUUUUCUCGAUGAAUCUUACUGGAAAAUUGCCUAUAUUAGUUGUCUUUUAAACAUAGAUUGAGUUUUGUUAAUGUUCUACUUCUUUUUCUAUUUCACUGAUUUUUCCUCAUGUUAAUUAUUGCCUUCUUACAUAGUUUUAGAAAAGUAUUUCAUUUAAAAAAUUUUCUCAUUUUCCUAGAUUUUCUAAUUUUUGAGUUGAAGCCUCAACUAAUUUGCUUUAAAUUAUCCUCAUUUUCGGUUGCUUCUACAUAUAUAAAUUUGACUAUGUUUAUCAAUUUACCUCCAAAAUUAUGAUAUGCAGUACUUUCAUGAUCUUCUAACUGUAUUUCAUAAUUUGAGCCUUUGACUCGUUGAUUUUUGGACAUAGGAUAAUUGGUUUUCAGUUAUAUGGUAUUUUUUAAAAUCCUUUUGAUUUCUAAUUUUUUCACAUUGUGGUAGCUAUUGGAGGCAUUAGGCAGGUGAGUCCUUAGAGGCAAAUGGUGUUUGGAGGGCAGACUACUCAGGUGUGCAGAAAGAGGAGGAAGAUAAGGAUGGCUGGAGACUGGCAGUGGAAGGCAGCCAAAUCUGACAGCACCGGGUAGUAUCAAGUGAGCUCUCCUUCAGUUCAAGGCCUCUGCUAACCUGACAACCUUAUUUUCUGAUUUCAGAUUGAAACUGUGCAGUUCAGGUUCCUGUGGCCUUGGAUCUUGGCAGAGGUGGUAGUGGGGUUCCAGGGUUGGCGGCCAGAACCCUGAAUUUUUGUUUGGGGUCUUCGGUUUCCUGGAAGGUGAGAGAGACUUGCUUUUCAAGUUCACUCCCGCAGUCUGACCUAUGGCAGCCCUGCACCUGCAGAGCCUUUGGGCAGAAGUUUCCGCCCCGGCUGGGCCCCUGGGGAGAGGCAGUACCUCAUUGUGGCCCUGACUAGGUUAUCCUAGAGACAUAGAUAAAGAUUGAGAAAUCUCCAGAGACCCUGUGACAUCACGCUUCCUCAGAAUACUGGUAGCCGCAACCCUUCGGCCUGGUUCCACUGCUUUCUGAGCUAUCCCAGAUUCUCAGGACUUCCGAGCUCGUCUUCUCCCUGUGCCUCUAUCAGGACCCACACUUACCUCCCCUCACCCACCGAAAGCCACAAAAGCACACCCUGAGGCCUCCAA